GGGAGAGGAAGCUCUCUGGGACCCUAUGCUGGGCAUGGCACAUUUGUUGCAUUAUUUAACUUCACAACAUUGGAUGAGAUGAGGGUUCCAGGGGAAGACAUAGAGCCAAGGCAGCAAACAUGCCUGGAGCAUUGUUGUAGGCGUUUUCAUAUAUAUUAACCAACUUAAUCCUGUCAGUGGCCCUCAAGAUUAGGGCCAUUCUACAGAAAAGGAAACCGAGGCCCAGCGAGGUUAAGUAACUUACCCAAGAUUACCGUGGCUCGGGGUAGAGUCAGGACAGGACCCAGGCAUGUGUUUGCCUCCUUUGGCCUGUUUUCCCCACCCUGAGGCUGCUGUCAUCCAGCUCUGCUCACUGAAGGCUUUCUCCUGGGUGUAGCCAAGGCAGCUAUGAGCAGAGUGUGACCUGAGCCAGGCAACCCCAGCCCCUCCCUCAGGAGCAGUGUCCAUCCCUUGGGUAGCUCCGUUCAGUCCCCUCCACAGCCCCAUGCAGUGUGGUGCUUUAUGUUUUAUGGGUGGGUGCCGUGCUCAGAGUGGCCAUUCAGAGGUCUGAAUAGCACAAAGAUAUGGGGGCCCUCAGAUGUCCCCCUCCAGUGUGUACUCCCCACAAGCUCAGGCCACCAGCUCUGACUGGGGAGGAAGUCCUGGCCACCUACCCCCAUCCUGGGCCUGGCCUCCAGACCUAUACAUUUCAACCAGGAGUCUGGAGAUGAUCCCAGGUGUCAGGGAUGGCAUCAGUUGGCAGUACAUGGUUAGUCUUCUGCAUGGCCUUCAUUUAGAAUGUCUCUCUCAUCUUUUGGGUAAUAGUUUGGAAAGAGAGCCUAUUUUCUAAUUUAUUUAUUUAUUUUUUUGUGGUACUGGGAAUCAAACUCAGGACUUUUUUUUUUUUUUUGGUACCGAGGAUUGAACUUGGGUCAUUUGCACUUGCGAAGCAGGCGAUGAAACCACUGAGCUAAAUCCCCAGCCCAAACUCAGGACUUUUGAGGCAGGUGCAAUGCCACUGAGCUAAAUCCCCGGCCCAAUUUUAUUUUAUUUUUGAGACAGGGUCUCACUGUGUAGCCCAGGCUGGCCUCAUAUUUGAGGCAAUCCUCCUGCCUCAGCCUCCUCAGUGCUGGGAUUAUGGGCAUGCCCCACCACACCCGGCUUAAGCCUGUUUCAUGAUUAGGACAUCUGUCCUAGAUUUCUGGGACAGUUAGAAUGGUUGAGAGGGGAUGUGGAGCUAAGUGACCAGUUUGAUAAUAUUUAGUACAGUGGUAAUAAAUUACUUUUAUAGUAGUAAUAGAAGUAGCUAUUAUUUCUUUCUCAUCUUUUCUGUCUUUUCUUUUCUUUUGCAGUGCUGGGGAUUGAACCGACGGCCUCGUGCACACUAGGCAGGCUGUCUUAUUGAGCCAUAUCCCUAGCUCAGCAAUUGCUUCUUGAAAGCUUACUGUGUGCCAGGCAGUGUGCUGAUUCCAUUUAAUCCUCAACAAUAGUCUGAUGGGAUAAGCACCAUUCCCAUUUUACAGAUGAAGAAACUGAGGCUCAGAGAGAUUAAGCAGUUUGCCUAGGAUCAUGCAUUCCUUAGAAUAGCUGGGAGCCUCUGUUGCUUCACAGUGAGAACCCUGAGCACUGGGAUGCAUUGUAGACAGAGGAGAUCCAAACCCACUCUUACCCUGGGAAUUCCCAGUUGGGAUGACAGGUAGAUGAGAGGGCUACCUGGUCAGUUGACACUGUUGGUGACCAGCUGUGGAGCUGAAAGGUAUCCUGCUCAAAGACUGGACUAAUGACUGUUGAGUCCUGAGCCUACAGGGGUACAGCCUUACCACAGGUACCUCCUGGAUACCUGCGUUCUGCUCUUGUUCUUCCUGAGCUGGCUUUUGGUAAUAAAAUGGUUCUCCCAGGCCCCAUAUGCUGAUGAAGAGACAGGUCAGUUGAAGGGGCCCAAGUUUAUCCCUGAAUAAACCAGGAAUCAAAUCCACUUAAGGUGCCUGAGGUCUGCCAUAGCUAGGUGUCAGCAACUGAACAGACCUGGGACAGAUCUCCAGAGUUACGAGGCUGAGACGCCGACUCCACCUGUGGUCAGGUGUGUGGUGCUCAGGGGCAGAGAAUCCCCCUUGGAGAGAUAUGGCCAGAUUUCCUUCUUAUCAUUGUGCAGGGAAAAGGGAAAUGCCAAGGGUGGGACCUGUCCUGACCACUCCUCUGUCAUGUCCUAGGGCUGUGACUAAGGGCCACAUCUGAAAUCUUGGCUGCCCUGAGGCCCUGGGGGAAACUGCCCUGGUUGCACUUCCUUUGGCUAGGCCAGUGUGGGGUGGGUCAGCCCCCAGGACCAGGAGGAGUAGCAGGCCUGGGUCUCCUCAACUUCCCGGAUGCCCCAAGGACACUGCCCUGUGUCUGAGCAUCCCUGUUUUUUGUUUUUGUUUUUUGUUUUUUUUGGUACCAG
rnacentral:lncRNA from 1 species